rnacentral:misc_RNA from 1 species
GCCAUCCAGCAAGCCUCUUGCACAGCCAGACAAUCUGCCACUCUGCCAGUUUCCUCGCCAGCCUCUUGGUUAGCCUCCCAUGCAGCCAGCUUCUAGGCCAGCCUCCUAACAAGCCAGACUUGCAUUCCGACUCUUAGCCAGAUUCAGCCUGCCAGGAUCUCAGCAGGCCUUUUAGCAAGCGUUUAUGGCAGCCUCUCAGACAGAAAGCCUCUCCCACAGGCUCUAGGCCAGCCUCCCAGUGAGCCAGCCUCUCAGCAAGCCUCUAUGCUACUUUUCAAGAGAGUCCUUCAGUACACCAGCCUCCCAUGCAGCCCGCGCCUUGGCCAGCCUUCCAGCCAGCCUCUAG